ensembl:lncRNA
GUUUCUACGAGAGUGCGGCCCUUCAAGUGAACAAGACUCUAAUUACGCUGCCUAGUGAAGCCCACUUAAUGAGCUCUCUGAAGGCAAUCUCAGCCUACGGUUGCUAGUCAGGCUCACAGCACAUCAAUAUUACAGUAAUAGCUUCUUCUCAGCACCCUCUUCGAGCAAACUCUUAUGCAUGUCUGCAACACCGGCGUGUAAAGUAAUUGGUUUACAGUCUUACGAGCACUCUUGAUGCCAUACACCGUGGUGCGUUUCCUCAUUGAGAUUUCACACUGAAAGCAGUUCGAAGAGGAAAAGGCGCUGUAAUGCUCUCCCAACGGUCACAUUCAGGUGCUGCAAGGCUGCUGCAUCCCAUUUGCUAGUUUCAGUUAUUACACCAUUUUCCCACUUAACUGUUUAAUUGCCUAACUACAGCGCAUUGUUAGGAGCCAUGUAGCUGUGGUCAUGUGAUCCAUAAAACGCGGGUAACGGCUUUCGCUUAAAUUGCCGCCGGGGACAGAUCCUGCAUGUGUAAUUAUCAAGCAAGUUUGGAGAGACUAUUUAAAGCCAGUGGCACUGAGCGCGAGUUGGUUUGCAAAUGGUGUUCGACACUUCACAAAAUGAGCUAACGCGAUCAUAAUUUGCGUUCGUCUAUCCCCUUUUGGACUGCCGAACCUUCCUCGUCGCUCCCCGACCUAGAAUCCUGCACGUGACAAACUGACAACUAAUGAAGUAGCAGUGGGGAUUUCAGGCAGCGCGGCUUUCGCGGUCGGCUCCGCGUAUCUGAAGCGUUAACUUUAUUUCCUGUUGAGCGGUGAGCACCAAGACUGGCCUCACAAAUGGGUUUAAUCAGGCCAGACCUAAUGCAAUUCAAACGCAUGCAUUGUUAGCCAAGACUUGGCAAGCCUCAGAUGUCUCUGCCUUGUGGGGCUUAAGGCUGCUUAUCGCUCCUGGAGCAGGAGAGUGUCGAGAUGGAUUCGAUUUAUUGCAGGUUCGCCUUAGCGGAGCCAAAGAAACGACACAGAGAGGAGCUCCUUUCACUCCUCGGUGGAAAAAUAACAGAAUGUAUAGUAGAUGGAGGCACCGGCAUGGGAGCGAACACCGCAUGAAUUCAAAGCUGUCAGUUGCUGUAAGGUUUGAUCGAGCACCGUAGGGGGAUUGCAGAUCAUACGUAUUAUUUACAUGCCAGAGUCAAUUCUUGAUUUAAUUAUGUACUAUACGGCUAUGUGCGGGUAUAUAUGCAUGUAUGCCGUUGUUGUGUAAUGAAUGCCUGUGCUGUCGGAUUUCGCCCCUAAAAAAUCGCUGUAGACAAUUCCCAGUAUAGCCACCCUCUCCCAAGCAUGUCGCAUUCCUCCAGCGACGUGUACAAAGCUCAUCACGAUACGCCUCAAUUGCUUUUACAGGCUAGGGCUGCGUCUCUCAAGAGUCUCAACUGAUUAUCUGAAACAUGGACAAGUAGUUGUUUUCCUGCCUUUGACAUCAAGUGAACACCCGCCAGCAAGUCCAUGAGACAAAGACCGCUGGGGCCAAACAUGAUGCCUGCAUAUCAGAUAAUUAUUAUUAUUUUCCAAGCUGUUAAAACAGAACCACUCAUGUGUUUUUCUUUUACAGACGUGACAUACAAUCCAAGUGGGUUAUCCAAACUUUCUUAGAAGUGAGACAGACUGAGGGUUAAAAGCCUUGUUCUUUGUCAGUCCUGUGAUUUAAACCAUGGCUCGUAAGAACUGAGUCACGGGGAACCUGGAGUCUAUCCCAGGGAGCAUCGGGCACAAGAUGGGGUACAUCCUGGACAGGGUGCCAGUCCAUCGCAGGGCACACACACACACACACAUUCACACACCCAUUCAUACACUACGGACACUUUAGACACGCCAAUUAUGCAUGUCUUUGGAAUGGGGGAGGAAACCGGAGUACCCGGAGGAAAC